UACGUAGGGUCCGAGCGUUGUCCGGAAUUAUUGGGCGUAAAGCGCGCGUAGGCGGCUACUUAAGUCGGAUGUGAAAGCCCUUGGCUCAACUGAGGAAGUGCACCCGAAACUGAGUGGCUUGAGUACUAAAGAGGGUCGCGGAAUUCCCGGUGUAGAGGUGAAAUUCGUAGAUAUCGGGAGGAACACCGGUGGCGAAGGCGGAUCUCUGGGCCUUACCUGACGCUGAGGCGCGAAAGCUAGGGGAGCGAACAGG
rnacentral:rRNA from 1 species